rnacentral:rRNA from 1 species
AUGGAACACGUUGAGAAUCCUUUUGAGGGUAACAAUGGAACUCCUGUGAGGAGUAAGAGACAAAGGACUGCAAAGUCUUUUGGUGAUGAUUUCAUUGUGUACCUCAUGGAUGACACACCCAGGACUAUUUCAGAAGCCUAUGCAUCUCCUGAUGCUGACUACUGGAAGGAAGCUGUACGUAGCAAGAUGGAUUCCAUCUUAGCUAAUGGUACAUGGGAGAUCACUGACCGUCCUUAUGGGUGCAAACCUGUAGGAUGUAAGUGGGUGUUCAAGAAGAAGCUUAGACCUGAUGGUGCGAUUGAAAAGUACAAGGCACGGCUUGUGGCCAAGGGUUAUACCCAGAAAGAAGGUGAAGACUUCUUUGAUACUUACUCACCCGUGGCUAGACUGACCACAAUUCGGGUGCUACUAUCACUAGCUGCCUCACAUGGUCUUCUCGUUCAUCAAAUGGACGUUAAGACGGCUUUCCUCAAUGGAGAGUUGAAGGAGGAAAUUUACAUGGAUCAGCCAGAUGGUUUUGUAGUACCUGGUCAGGAAGGAAAGGUGUGCAAGUUAUUAAAGUCUUUAUAUGGCCUUAAACAAGCUCCUAAGGAGUGGCAUGAGAAGUUCGAAAGAACAUUAACUGCUGUCGGCUUUGUAGUAAACGAUGGUGACAAGUGCGUGUACUAUCGCUAUGGUGGGGGCAAAGGAGUUAUUCUUUGUCUGUAUGUCGACGACAUAUUGAUCUUUGGAACCAAACUUGGAUCUAGGAGUAGCUGA